rnacentral:rRNA from 1 species
GCUGUUAAAAAGCUCGUAGUUGGAUCAAGAGUUCGACAGUGCAAGGUGGCCUCGCUUGCUCACUUGGCUCCGGUCAUGUGUGCGGCGGCGGAUCAACCCCUUGCGCCAAACUGUCGUCUCUAACAGACCGAAGCGGUUUCCCUGUGAGUAAGCCACUUAAUUGGGGCUGAAAGCGUUUACGCAUUAACCACAUGCAUACGGGACGUCGGUCAAAGUUACUGUGAACAAACCAGCGUGUCCAAAACAGGCUUUGCCUGAAUGUUCGAGCAUGGAAUAACAUGGGAUCGAUUCUCUCGGUUCUUUUUGUUGGGUUUGAACCCGAGAAGGAGUAAUUCAGGCCAAGGUGUCUGGGCUGGGUUCCCCUUACCUUCGGGUAAGGCCCCAGUUAGGCCUUGUCCUUACGGGAUAAAUAGGGACUGACGGGGUCGUACGUACUUCCACGUCAGAGGUGAAAUUCUUAGAUCGUGGGAAGACGAACUUCUGCGAAAGCAUUCGACAAGAAUGUCUUCAUUAAUCAAGAACGAGAGUGUGGGGAUCGAAGAUGAUC